rnacentral:rRNA from 1 species
UACGGAGGGGGCUAGCGUUGUUCGGAAUUACUGGGCGUAAAGGGCGCGUAGGCGGAAUGGCAAGUCGGUCGUGAAAUCCUUCGGCUCAACCGAAGAACGUCGAUCGAAACUGCCGUUCUUGAGGAUUGCAGAGGAGACUGGAAUUCCCGGUGUAGCGGUGAAAUGUGUAGAGAUCGGGAGGAACACCGGUGGCGAAGGCGGGUCUCUGGGCAACAACUGACGCUGAGGAGCGAAAGCGUGGGGAGCGAACAGG